CCAAACAGAGCUGCGCCCAGAGGGAGGCAUGCAGAGGCGCUUUCAGAGGAAGUUCUUGCUGCUGCAGCGGGACAGAAGCAGCUGGGAUGGCUGACCAUCCUGAUAGGCCUUGGAGGAAGGGAAGUUUCACCAGCCUCAACUACUACUCCCCAUCCCCUGCAACUGCCAUUCUUUCUGACUUGUCUCUAGAAAAGGCCAUGUGACCUCUCGCUCAGGCUGACCCAUUGUCCCAGCCAGAAUGUCCAGCCAAAGCAGAAUAAAGCAUCUACUGGAC